AUAGUCAAAGUCCAGUGGCAGGACAAAAUUCAACUGGCCAUGGUCCAGGAUGCAAUGAAUGACUUUGGUGUCUUUGAUACCUGACCAAGAUCAAAGAGCUUCAUCGCCUGCUUCAACUACUUUUGUGGCCAUUGGAACACAUCAUUCUCAUCUACCUAUUCAGUUGGGGAGAAUCUUCACGUUUGGGGAAUAUUCUGAAGAUCAUCUGGAAAAGGGAUCCUGUUCCAGAAGUACAAGUUUGAAGGACUGAUGUCUGUACCUGAUCUGAAGUGAGAGAGAAGAUGGACAAAAACAAAGAAGUGGAGAUUUAUGGUGCCAGGGCAAUGAAAAAUCAACACAGGCUGCCUUCUCCCAGUGGGUUCCACUAUAUGCAUCUUCCAAGAGAGCCACCAGCCACUCCACAAGCUCCUGCCAGAGACAGCCCAGCUCUGAUUAUAAGUGAAUUACCUUUUCUGCUUUCUCAGAUGGAAACUCAAAAACUGAAUUCUAACCUCAGGUCUAAAAGAGAAGAAAGAUCACUCCUCCAACAUUAUACAUAAUAUACACUUCAUAAAUGUUUACUGAAUUUAUUGAAUUACUGAAUAUGUGGAUCCCUCAGGCUUCCUAGGCUGUAGUAAAUUAAAGGGUUUGACCCGAAGGACUUGAAGGUGUCUUCUGGAUGUAAAUCUAAGUUCCUAUAACUUUGACCCACCGAGAUUUCUGCUUUGGGUAAGAGUUCAGUCAAAUAGAAUAUACAUACA